rnacentral:rRNA from 1 species
GGUUGAUAGGUCAGAGGUGUAAGUAUGGCAACAUAUUUAGCUGACUGAUACUAAUAGGUCGAGGGCUUGACCAAUAA